AGCAGCAUGGUCUAAUGGAAAUAACUCUGGCCUUGGAGCCAGAGGAUCUGGGUUCUAAUCCCAGCUCAGCCA
rnacentral:tRNA from 1 species